rnacentral:rRNA from 1 species
AUUGAACGCUGGCGGCAUGCCUUACACAUGCAAGUCGAACGGUAACGCGGGGCAACCUGGCGACGAGUGGCGAACGGGUGAGUAAUGCAUCGGAACGUGCCCAGUAGUGGGGGAUAGCCCGGCGAAAGCCGGAUUAAUACCGCCUACGACCUACGGGUGAAAGCGGGGGAUCGCAAGCCCUCGCGCUAUUGGAGCGGCCGAUGUCAGAUUAGGUAGUUGGUGGGGUAAAGGCCUACCAAGCCUACGAUCUGUAGCUGGUCUGAGAGGUCGCGCAGCCACACUGGGACUGAGACACGGCCCAGACUCCUACGGGAGGCAGCAGUGGGGAAUUUAGGACAAUGGGGGCAACCCUGAUCCAGCCAUGCCGCGUGCGGGAAGAAGGCCUUCGGGUUGUAAACCGCUUUUGUCGGGGAAGAAAUCCUCCGGGCUAAUACCCCGGGGGGAUGACGGUACCCGGAGAAUAAGCACCGGCUAACUACGUACCAGCCGCCGCCGUAAAAC